ACUGCAUUUAUAGCAUUUAUAUUAAAUAGAUGUAAUCUAUAACAUAGUCAUAGGUCAACUGUGGACAUGUGAAAUCUGAGACAGGCAAAUUUAUUUUCUGAUUACACUGCUAAAGUGACCCAUGAACUAGAAAAAUUCUUCUUAAGAUGGAACUGAGGUUUUGGAGAAGCACCUGAAGAAAUGAGAAAGGAAAGAUGCAUGCACACAGUUGCCUGGUUGGCCAACUCCGAGCGUCAGAUGGAGACACAGGUGUGGCAGAUUGAUCACCAGCAACCUAUGUAGAAUUGCCAGCUAAGUCUAGGAUGCCUGAGAUUCCAUUGACUGCUUAGAUGACAUUGGAUUCUGAGGAUAAUGCAUGGGCAUCUCUGAGGAGACACUCUUCUGCCCAUCACACACUGUGCUGAGGGAAGCCAGAUGACAAGAUAAACAGGUACAUGGAUUGCAUGUAUUUCUGUGUAUACAUGCAUUUGUAUACUUACAUAACUUCACAUCGAGGAAUGUAUAUUGACAGAAGCAAAGAAAAUGCCAUGAUGGGGAAUAAAAUGGAGAACAAGUCUAUUGGACGAGGAGGUAUCUGUGCUGAAAGCCAAGAGAGAGAACACAAUCUGCCUUCCAAUUUCUCUUCUCUAAGAAAAUUACUUCAUGGUUUAUACUCUUAAGAUUGUUUUGAUGAUUGAAUGAUGUAAAUGAUGUAACAACUUUUACAGAAUAUCUAGUAUCACUGAUGAUUCCCCAGUGCUUAGAAUAGUUUCUUCACAUAGAAGGAACUCAAUAAACACUUGUUGAAUCAAAAAAUUCACUUUGAGUUUUGUGCUGCUGCAGCAGGGAUAUUAUUUUUGGAAACACUUUCAGACGUAUUUCUAUAUUCUGACUAUUUUUGCCUUGGAGACUUCAACCUGAUUAAAGCAAUGAGUUUUAGUGCUUUAGAGAGA